AGAACUGAGAAGGCGGUGCUUUUCUGGCCUGUGACCAUGUUUCCCAUCUGAAAAUAUAGUACUAAUGCUGCUUCAUCAAUACAUAGGGCCUAGCUAGAUGGGCUAGUACAAGGGGUUAAGAUUAAAGUUCACAAGGGACUGGUAAAUAUAAGAAAAAACCAUGUCAGUCAAAGAGAUUCAAUCAGACAUGGCUAAAAUGUUUUCACAAAUGCCCAAAAUCCAGGUUGCUUGCAAUAAAGCUCAUUGUCAGUAACAUCUAAUCAACAUGUCUCAGGAUUCCGAUGUUGGAAUUGGCCUUUUUAAGA
rnacentral:sRNA from 1 species